AGGUGUCCCUGAAAAUCCCAGGAUUCCCUAGCUUUGAAUACGGUUACUCCCUUUGGAUGGCUGUAGGUGGGAGCUUAGGAGCCAUCACUACAUCAAUAAUUGCCUGGUAUCUGAUUCUCUGCAACAAGAAGCCGCAAGUGAUACAGAAAAAAGGAUUAGAUGGAAGCCAAUAUCCUGACGCUUUGGAUGUUGUAAAAACAUAUGUUUAACUAAAUCAGCCAACUAAAUGUAU